CCCUUAGAUGUUCUGGGCCGCACGCGCGCUACACUGACUGAGCCAGCGAGUUUAUAACCUUGGCCGAAAGGUCUGGGUAAUCUUGUGAAACUCAGUCGUGCUGGGGAUAGAGCAUUGCAAUUAUUGCUCUUCAACGAGGAAUGCCUAGUAAGCGCAAGUCAUCAGCUUGCGUUGAUUACGUCCCUGCCCUUUGUACACACCGCCCGUCGCUACUACCGAUUGAAUGGCUUAGUGAGAUCUCCGGAUUGGCUUUGGG
rnacentral:rRNA from 12 species